rnacentral:tRNA from 1 species
AGGCGCGUAGCUCAGUGGUAGAGCAUUGCUUUGACGUAGCAAGGGUCGGAGGUUCGAUCCCUCUCGCGCCUA